rnacentral:rRNA from 1 species
UACGUAGGUGGCAAGCGUUGUCCGGAAUUAUUGGGCGUAAAGCGCGCGCAGGUGGUUUGAUAAGUCUGAUGUAAAAGCCCCCGGCUCAACCGUGGAAGUGCAUUGGAAACUGGUAGACUUGAGUGCGGGAGAGGAAAGUGGAAUUCCUAGUGUAGCGGUGAAAUGCGUAGAGAUUAGGAGGAACACCAGUGGCGAAGGCGGCUUUUUGGCCUACAACUGACACUGAGGCGCGAAAGCGUGGGGAGCAAACAGG